rnacentral:rRNA from 1 species
UACGAGAGAAGCAAAUGUUAUCCGAAAUUAUUGGGCGUAAAGCGUUUGUAGGCGGUCGAUUGUGUUUAAUGUUAAAUCUUAAAGCUCAACUUUGAAAUUGCUUUAAGAACUGCUUGUCUUGAGUAUGGUAGGGGUAAAGGGAAUUCCCAGUGUAGCAGUGAAAUGCGUAGAAAUUGGGAAGAACACUAAACAGCGAAGGCACUUUACUAGGCUAAUACUGACGCUGAGAAACGAAAGGUAAGGUAGCGAAACGGAUUAGAUAGCCGUGUAGUCUUUCCCGUAAAUUAUGGACACUAAACGGUAAAUUUUUAAUUUACUGUUAAAGCUAACGCGUUAAGUGUCCCGCCUGGGGAGUAUGCUGGCAAAAGUGAAACUCAAAGGAAUUGACGGGGGCCCGCACAACCGGUGGAGCAUGUGGUUUAAUUCGACGGUACACGAAGCACCUUCCCAGGAUUUGACAUGCUAGAUAGUUGCUUGAAAGAGUAACGUGCCGUAAGGAAUCUAGACACAGGUGGUGCAUGUCUGUCGUCAGUUCCUGUUGUGAAAUGUUGGGUUAAGUCCCGCAACGAACGCAACCCUGGUCUUUAGUUCUUUUCUAAAGAGACUGCCUGUAAUAAACAGGAGGAAGGUAAGGAUGAGGUCAAGUCAUCAUGCCCCUUAUGUCCUGGGCUACACACGUGCUACAAUGGGAAAGACAAUGAGCUGCAAAUCAGUAAAUUUAAGCAAAUUUUUUAAACUUUCUCGUAGUUCGGAUUGUGGGCUGCAACUCGCCCACAUGAAGUUGGAAUCGCUAGUAAUCGCCAGUCAGCUAUAUGGCGGUGAAUCCGUUCCCGGGCCU